rnacentral:rRNA from 1 species
UACAGAGGGGGCAAGCGUUAUUCGGAAUUAUUGGGCGUAAAGGGCGCGUAGGCGGCCUGGCAAGUGGAAGGUGAAAUCCCUCGGCUUAACCGAGGAACUGCCUUCCAAACUGCUUGGCUUGAGUCCGGGAGAGGUGAGUGGAAUUCCCAGUGUAGCGGUGAAUGCGUAGAUAUUGGGAGGAACACCAGUGGCGAAGGCGGCUCACUGGACCGGAACUGACGCUGAUG